rnacentral:rRNA from 1 species
CGGAGGGUGCAAGCGUUAUCCGGAUUCACUGGGUUUAAAGGGUGCGUAGGUGGGUUGGUAAGUCAGUGGUGAAAUCCCCGAGCUUAACUUGGGAACUGCCAUUGAUACUAUCAGUCUUGAAUACCGUGGAGGUCAGCGGAAUAUGUCAUGUAGCGGCGAAAUGCUUAGAUAUGACAUAGAACACCAAUUGCGAAGGCAGCUGGCUACACGAAUAUUGACACUGAGGCACGAAAGCGUGGGGAUCAAACAGGAUUAGAUACCCUGGUAGUCCACGCCCUAAACUAUGGAUACUCGACAUUUGCGAUACACUGCAAGUGUCUGAGCGAAAGCAUUAAGUAUCCCACCUGGGAAGUACGAUCGCAAGAUUG